rnacentral:rRNA from 1 species
GACGAACGCUGGCGGCGUGCCUAACACAUGCAAGUCGAACGGAGUUAAGACUUCGGUUUUAACUUAGUGGCGAACGGGUGAGUAACGCGUGAGAAACCUGCCUUUCAGUGGGGGACAACAGUUGGAAACGACUGCUAAUACCGCAUAACGUAUCGGAACCGCAUGAUUCUGAUACCAAAGCUGAGGCGCUGAAAGAUGGGCUCGCGUACGAUUAGAUAGUUGGUGAGGUAACGGCUCACCAAGUCGACGAUCGUUAGCCGGACUGAGAGGUUGAACGGCCACAUUGGGACUGAGACACGGCCCAGACUCCUACGGGAGGCAGCAGUGAGGAAUAUUGGGCAAUGGGGGAAACCCUGAUGCAGCAACGCCGCGUGAAGGAGAAGGUCUUCGGAUUGUAAACUUCUGUUUUUAAGUGAAGAACAAAUGACGGUAGCUAAAGAGGAAGCC